CAUUGAACGAGCAACGUACACUCUGGAAAAGAAGUUCGGGAUCCACCUGAAGGAAAUUGACAAGGAAGAGCACCUGUACAUUCUCGUCUGCACACGGGAUUCGUCAGCCCGCCUCCUGGGAAAAGCCCUGGGAAGAGGUGUUAGCAUCCACAUUUGAUGGAUGAAGGGCCUCAGUCUCAGGCCGAGGAAGGAAUUGUCUGGACCAGGUAUAGCAAGCCAUACAGAGUGGGAGGAACUGCCCUGUAGCCCAGCAGUGUGGGAGAGGCUAGUUGGGUGAGCCGGCUGUGGUCACCUGGGCAAAUGGCUGCUGGACAGGAUCCCU
ensembl:lncRNA